GACGAACGCUGGCGGCGUGCCUAAUACAUGCAAGUCGAACGCAUUUUCUUUCACCGUAGCUUGCUACACCGAAAGAAAAUGAGUGGCGAACGGGUGAGUAACACGUGGGUAACCUGCCCAUCAGCGGGGGAUAACACUUGGAAACAGGUGCUAAUACCGCAUAAUUCCAUUUACCGCAUGGUAGAUGGGUGAAAGGCGCUUUUGCGUCACUGAUGGAUGGACCCGCGGUGCAUUAGCUAGUUGGUGGGGUAACGGCCUACCAAGGCUGCGAUGCAUAGCCGACCUGAGAGGGUGAUCGGCCACACUGGGACUGAGACACGGCCCAGACUCCUACGGGAGGCAGCAGUAGGGAAUCUUCGGCAAUGGACGCAAGUCUGACCGAGCAACGCCACGUGAGUGAAGAAGGUUUUCGGAUCGUAAAACUCUGUUGUUAGAGAAGAACAAGGAUGAGAGUGGAAAGUUCAUCCCUUGACGGUAUCUAACCAGAAAGCCACGGCUAACUACGUG
rnacentral:rRNA from 1 species